AUUUUAUUAGUUAAAUCUAUGAUCAAAAUUUAGCACAAAAACGAAGGGGAUCAAUAAAUCAGGACGGAGACAGUAUUGUUGGGUGCAGAAAUCUCCAUUGGUGCUGUGAAUGAAGGUCCUAGAAUACGUUAUUGCCUACGCGCUUUGGUCAAGGAUGAUUGAUUAUCUGCUCGGCACAGGCCACGUUCCCACCGCAUGCCCGCAAUGCGAGUAUUGUGGGACAACUGUUAUACUGAUGUUUAAAUUUCUAGUAUCAUUGGAUGCCAGAAAUCGACUCCAUCUUUCAACUGAGAUGCAAAUCGCCAUUUAUUGAGAUUACUCAAGAGGUUGGGAAACUAAUCGGCAAGUUUUGAAUCAAUCCAAGUCUAUGAGAAAUCGUCCCCAUGCACUCAUUUUCAAUUUUGUUGCUAGUGAUCACAAUUAGCAUACUUCUACAAGGAAAGUUCCUGUAAAAAAAAAAUUAGAAACCUCACCAAGCAACAUUUUUUGCCAAUAUAACUGAAAGCUCACUAGGAAAAAAAAUCAUAGAAGGCUCAACCCCUUUUAGAUUUCAAACGCAGAACUACGCUAACAAAGCACUACUCGAAAGAUAUAAGCACGUGUGUGACUACAUAUUUGAACUUUAUAAACCCUUGUAGACGAGGUCCUUGUCCAAAGCUAUAAGUAGACCAUCCAGAUGUUCUGCAUGAUUCAUCCUUAUGCUAACGAAAUUAGAGUAGCAUGUAUACACCGUGCGGCCAUCCUUGUUGCUCGAGCCUCCUACACAGAGAACCGUCUCAAUAUUCCCCACCUCGUCUUACUACCACAAAACUGUAUCAAUCUGCAAAAUAUGUUCAAUUAAGCUAUAUUUUGCAAUGUGACCAAAUGAAUUGACCCAUAAAUCUCAAUGCGUCAAAAGAACGACAUCCAUGUGCAAAAGUUAACUUCGGAAACGCUGGAUGUUAUGAGCCAUACGUUAUAAACAUUGAACAGUAAAUAUAACGACACAAACAAAAUCUUAAUAGACGUGUAACAGUAAGACCGACAAGGCACGACAUAACACAACAGGCAUUUGCCCAUGCAAAUAGGAUCAUGAUAAGCACUUCAAGCACCUAAUGCGCUUGCAACUAACCCGGUUCUACUUCCUCACAUGUCACAAUGCUAUAAAGAUCCACCAUAAAAGCCAUGCCCUUCAAAUAAAAGAAGAAGCACACAGGAAGAAGGGCAUCAAGUUGUCAGAAAAGGUUGCAAGGGAUAUACAUAGAGUUCAGGUCUCCUGAGCAAUCUUUCCCCUCAGGCAUUUACAACCAGCGGUUGCGCACACCUACAACGUCACAACUGAAACACAAACUGAGAAAAAAAUGUGCAUAUCCACACAGACACAACUACCUCUCUACAACAAUUCUCCCGUUUCAGGUCAGAUUAUUGGAAGUAUAAGGACUUGUUGAAAAGCAUGAGUUAGACAAAGCUCAAAAGGCAAGAAGGAACCAUAAAAGGCUUAUCCAAACUAGAGAUGUAAUUCCAUAAGAGGUUUAGUUAUGAACCAACGAAAAUUGGCACUUUGUGGAGAAUGAAAGAUCUAAAUGACUAUAAAGAAAUAUAAAGUCAUGUCAAUACCAACAAUUGGUGCAUCGACUUAAUUUCAUGUAAACAUGUUUUGAACAAACGGGAACCGACACUGCAACCGUAAGCUUCUCUGCAUAAUCAAUAGGGUAACUCAUGAAAGGAAAGAACCCAUCUAUGUAAACCAAAUCUGUACAACUUUAUUAGACUACAAACAUACAAAAAGUAAACAAAAGAAAAGGAACAAGCAGAGCACAUCCAUAUCACCUAGUUGCAUUCAUAUAAGGAAGCAAACUAGUAGCCAUGAACAACGUGUAUGCCGUGUCACAAUCACAUGACAUGCCAAAUUACCGACCCAGUGUUUCGGCGAAACCCAGGGAGGGACCAGACCGCACCAAGGAAGAGAUGCACUUCAACACUUGGUCCUACUAAUAUCUGGAUCAUCUAGUUUGAGUUUGUCCACCCACGUCAAUUUCCAAUAUUAACCUGUAGUGAACGGAUAAUUAUACCUAAAAUUGGGCAUCACCUAAAACUUAGAAAUAGCAUGUUUCCUUGUUUGUAUUCUCAUAAUAUGAAAAUUAAUAUGUGUUGUUAUGUAACUCCAAAUAAUAUAUGCAUGCAUUCCUCGAAACAAAAUUCAUUCAGUGAAUAAUAAUGGCUCUGAACUGGCUACAAAUGGAAGAUGUGCAUCGAUCAUUAACCCUCCCCUUGGUGAUAGUAUGAUAUAUACAAUAAUUUCAUAAUAAAGUGCAUACAGUUUAUAGCAAUAAGAUAGUAGACAUCAUGUUAGUAGUAGAAAAAACUAUGUAGAUGAACUAGAACCGAAGGGAGCGUUCCCACUAUGCUGGACACUGUUCAUAAGGAUGUCGACGCACUGUCGUUGACCACUGCAACAACCUGUUGUCGCAACACAAAUGCCUAUGAUACAACACCCCUCGUGCCUUCUCUAGCAGCCAGCACGUGGUAAAUCAACAUCACCUCUCAUUGGCUAGGUGUCCUCGUCCCAUGUCUUUGGUGGAUUUGUACAAAAUUCACAACAUUGACUUUAGAUCUUAGAAAUGAUUUUAGAAAGUCGAUUUUAGAAAUGAUGCCAGAGAAGAGUCCGAUGUACAAAAUUCACAGCAACAUGGGCUUUAAGUCUGAGAAAUAAUAUCUGAUGCAUGUCUCAAACAAGCAAGCACAAACAUAUUUCUUCAUUAAAUCACCCAUAUAUUUAUCAAUUAUAGCUAGUGAAGGCAAAUCACAUGAUAAAGAGAGACAAUAUAUUGUACAUGCAAGUCAUAAAACCAAGAGAGGAAAUAUAAUGUUGAGUCAAGUCCUCGUUGACUGCAACUCAACUUCAGAGAAAGAAGUUAUUGAGUACACAAUGGAGCAUGAAUAUUACACAGAUUAAUCAUGUCUUGCAGCUUGAGCAUAUUGUAGGCAUAGAUAAAAAAGCUGCAAAAAUAAAGAUGUGAGAUUAUAGGGAUAAAAUCAAAAGAGAGUGGAAGAGGGAGGAGGUAAAUCAAUAGGAAUAAUAUCACACCUCGGCCCUAGAAAAAUUGAAGAGCACACCGAGGCAAGGUGCUGCCCAAGUGGCCGCACCUAGUUGAAGAAACGACAUGGCCAAACACAUCCCAUGGCUACCGCCAAACCUGUGCAACAGCAACACCUUUCUUUGCAUCUCCCUCCCUGACGUCAUUUCACGCAUACCAAUCAUACAACUAGGGAUAAAAAUGAAGCAGAAACUUUGCAUCCGUUCCAGCAAAAUAUGAAAACAGAGAGCAAAUAUGGAAACAGAAACAGAAAUUUGCCGAAUGGGAGCAAAAAUGGAAAGUUUCUCACGGAAACGGGACAUCGUUUUCCAGCGGAACACUAGCAGAAACAGGAUUUCCAUAUCCUCACGCGAGGAAGUUUUCAUUUAUUUUUUGUCUAUAUAGCUAUCUCCAGACCAACCAAUAUAAACUUUUGGCUGAACUCAAUCCUACCAUCAAGAAACAUAAUCUUUCCCCUACUCCUAUGAUCCUCCCUACAAUCCCAUUUUCUUCCUGAAAAAUAUGUGUUAUAUUGUUGCCAUAAUUGGAAACUCAUGCAUUGUAUCUGUGUAUACCAUAUUAUAUAUCCAUGAUAUAUCAUAAUAUUUGUUUUCAUCUUAGCAAUUGAAUUUGUAAGUUUAGAUAUGUUUUUCAUUACGGUUCAAGAGGCUUUUGAGUUCCGGAUUUUUUUACUUCGUAUGAGUGUUCACAGUUCGUAUUUGUUUUUGAUUGUGUAUUUGUUUCUAGAUUUUUUGUAUUUAUUUCCGCUUCAACUAAGUAUCAUGGACACAAAUGCAGCAGUACUCAGUUUUGUCUGUCUCAGCUUCGUUUUCGUACCUACAUAUUAUGACCACCACCAAAUCAAACAAGCUACACUGAUAAUAGACAUAACAAGACUAACCAACUCCAAGUAAGAGCACAAUAUGAUAUAAAGGACAAAGAUGACACACUAGUUCCUAAGGAAGGGACGAAGGCUGCGAGGUAGUGAAGGAUCAAAGAUGCGCUAUAUGUUGACCAGGGAGGGGGGGUUGAAUAGAUGACUACCAAAUUUAAUCUUAUCUCUACUCUUAAAAAAACUAAGUUGGUGACGAUGGUGUGCCUGCCAUCUUGCAAUAUAGACCGUCCGAUCUAUAUCUGACGAAUAGAAAGCAAACUAUGGCAAUUUUGUAAAAAGAUACCCGAACCUCUCUCCACAUUUGCAGAUAAGGCCUUCCCUCGUUCAUCCUUAUCUCCCACAACCUCAUUGUUGAGCAAUUAAAAAAGGAACAAUCUGGCAUGGUGGGCGCUCCCGGCGUCGUUCAUCGCCAUGCCUCCGCUCAGUCUGACCACCAAUCACCACCACGCCCACUCCUCCUCACAUUAUCUCUCCUCUUUCUCGAGAUAGCAUUAGUUUUUACACAUGGGAUUACUCACGCAUGGGUCAAUCACAAUAGGUGUUUUAUUAAAAAAUGCAUAUUGAUGUUCCGUGCAUUGCAUGAGCAUCUUGCUAGUCUUCAUUGAUUUUAGAGGCAAGUGUGGAAUAGUAAGUUCUCUAGAAAUGCAACUAAGUGAUACAUCAUAAAUGAUGUGUUACAACAAACUAGCAAGAUACAGAAAGCAAACAAGCAAGCAAGUAAUAACAAGUAAAGUGGGAUAUAAUUAAACAUCCAAAAGUGAUGGAGAAGAAGAUAUAAUCCAAAUUUCAAACUCUUGGUUGAGUGCUAAUCUCUGUUAGGGAGGUGGGGAACAACAAAUGUCUCGAGUGUGCAAGAAACUUGGUUAAUGAAUGCCCAAGUUCCUUGUCACUAGGGCUAGCUCUUGGAAUGCCAUUAACACACCAAAGCCAUCAUUAGGACCUAGAUGUCCUUGUUGGGGAACGUAGUAUUUCAAAAAAAAAACCUACGAUCACGCAAGAUCUAUCUAGGAGAAGCAUAGCAACGAAUGGGGAGAGAUUGUCCACGUACCCUCGUAGAACGAAAGCGGAAGCGUUUAGUAAUGUGGUUGAUGUAGUCGAACGUCUUCGCGAUCCAACCGAUCCAUGUACCGAACGCACGACACCUCCGCGAUCUGCACACGUCCAGCUCGGUGACGUCCCUCGAACUCUUGAUACAGCUGAGGCCGAGGGGGAGUUUCGUCAGCACGACGGCGUGGUGACGGUGAUGAUGAAGUUACCGACGUAGGGCUUCGCCUAAGCACUACGACAAUAUGACCGAGGUGGAAAACUAUGGAGGGGGGGGGGGCAACGCACACGGCUAAAGAUCAACUUGUGUGUCUAGGGGGUGCCCCCUCCCCCGUAUAUAAAGGAGGGGAGGAGGAGGCCGGCCGGCCCUAGGGGGCGCCCAAGGGGGAGUCCUACUCCAAGUAGGAAUCAGCUCCCCCCUUUCCUAGUCCAAGUAGGAGAAGAAGGAAGGAGAGGGAAAGAGGGGCCGCGCCCCCUCCCCUAGUCCUAUUCGGACUACCCUUGGGGGGCGCCACCUCCUGGGUGCUGCACUCUCUCUCUCUCCCCUAAGGCCCACUAAGGCCAUUGCUUCCCCUCGGGGGGGGGGGGGGUCCGGUAACCCCUCAGGCACUCCGGUUUUAUCCGAAACUAUCCGAAACACUUUCGGUGUCCGAAUAACAUGGUCCAGUAUAUCAAUCUUUAUGUCUCGACCAUUUUGAGACUCCUCGUCAUGUUCAUGAUCUCAUCCGGAACUCCGAACAACCUUCUGUACAUCAAAUCACAUAACUCAUAAUACAAAUCGUCAUCGAGCGUUAAGCGUGCGGACCCUACGGGUUCGAUAACUAUGUAGACAUGAUCGAGAUACAUCUCUGGUCAAUAACCAAUAGCAGAACCUGGAUGCUCAUAUUGGCUCCUACAUAUUCUACGAAGAUCUUUAUCGGUCAAACCGCAUAACAACAUGCGUUGUUCCCUUUGUCAUCGGUAUGUUACUUGCCCGAGAUUCGAUCGUCGGUAUCAUCAUACCGAGUUCAAUCUCAUUACCAGCAAGUCUCUUUACUCGUUCCGUAAUGCAUCAUCCCGCAACUAACUCAUUAGUCACAUUGCUUGCAAGGCUUAUAGUGAUGUGCAUUACCGAGAGGGCCCAGAGAUACCUCUCCGACAAUCGGAGUGACAAAUCCUAAUCUUAAUCUAUGCAAAAUCAACAAACACCAUCGGGGACACCUGUAGAGCAUCUUUAUAAUCACCCAGUUACAUUGUGACGUUUGAUAGCACACUAAGUGUUCCUCCGGUAUUCGGGAGUUGCAUAAUCUCAUAGUCAUAGAAACAUGUAUAAGUCAUGAAGAAAGCAAUAGCAAUAAACUAAACGAUCAUAGUGCUAAGCUAACGGAUGGGUCUUGUCCAUCACAUCAUUCUCUAAUGAUGUGAUCCCGUUCAUCAAAUGACAACACAUGUCUAUGGCUAGGAAACUUAACCAUCUUUGAUUAACGAGCUAGUCUAGUAAAGGCAUACUAAGGACACUUUGUUUGUCUAUGUAUUCACACAUGUACUAAGUUUCCGGUUAAUGCAAUUCUAGCGUGAAUAAUAAACAUUUAUCAUGAUAUAAGGAAAUAUAAAUAACAACUUUAUUAUUGCCUCUAGGGCAUAUUUCCUUCAGUCUCCCACUUGCAUUAGAGUCAAUAAUCUAGAUUACAUAGUAAUGAUUCUAACACCCAUGGAGUCUUGGUGCUAAUCAUGUUUUGCUCAUGAGAGAGGCUUAGUUAACGGGUCUACAACAUUCAGGUUUGCAUGUAUCUUGCAAAUCUCUAUGUCUCCCUCCUUGACUUGAUUGCGGAUGAAAUUGAAGCGUCUCUGAUGUGAUUGGUUCUCUUGUGAAAUCUGGAUUUCUUUGCCAAGGCAACUGAAAUAGUAUUGUCACAAAAGAUUUUCAUUGGACCCGAUGCACUAGGUAUGACACCUAGAUCGGAUAUGAAAUCCUUCAUCCAGACUCCUUCAUUUGCUGCUUCCGAAGCAGCUAUGUACUCCACUUCACACGUAGAUCCCGCCACGACGCUCUGCUUGGAACUGCACCAACUUAUAGGCCCUCCAUUCAAUAUAAAUACGUAUACGGUUUGUGACUUAGAGUCAUCCAGAUCAGUGUCAAAUCUUGCAUCAACGUAACCAUUUACGACGAGCUCUUUGUCACCUCCAUAAAUGAGAAACAUAUCCUUAGUCCUUUUCAGGUAUUUCAGGAUGUUCUUGACCGAUGUCCAGUGAUCCACUCCUGGAUUAAUUUGGUACCUCCCUGCUAAACUAAUAGCAAGGCACACAUCCGGUCUGAUACACAGCAUUGCAUAUAUGAUAGAACCUAUGGCUGAAGCAUAGGGAAUGACUUUCAUUUUCUCUCUAUCUUCUGCAGUGGUCAGGCAUUGAGUCUGACUCAACUUCACACCUUAUAACACAGGCAAGAACCCUUUCUUUGCUUGAUCCAUUUUGAGCUUCUUUAAAACUUUAUCAAGGUAUGUGCUUUGUGAAAGUCCAAUUAAGCGUCUUGAUCUAUCUCUAUAGAUCUUGAUGCCUAAUAUAUAAGCAGCUUCACCGAGGUCUUUCAUUGAAAAAUUCUUAUUCAAGUAUCCUUUUAUGCUAUCCAGAAAUUCAGUAUCAUUUCCGAUCAACAAUAUGUCAUCCACAUAUAAUAUCAUUAAUGCUACAUAGCUCCCACUCACUUUCUUGUAAAUACAGGCUUCUCCAAAAGUCUGUAUAAAACCAUAUGCUUUGAUCACACGAUCAAAGCGUAUAUUCCAACUCCGAGAUGCUUGCACCAGUCCAUAAAUGGAUCGCUGGAGCUUGCACACUUUGUUAGCACCUUUUGGAUCGACAAAACCUUCUGGUUGCAUCAUAUACAACUCUUCUUUAAGAUAUCCAUUAAGGAAUGCAGUUUUGACAUCCAUUUGCCAAAUUUCAUAAUCAUAAAAUGCGGCAAUUGCUAACAUGAUUUGGACAGACUUAAGCAUCUCUACGGGUGAGAAGGUCUCAUCGUAGUCAACUCCUUGAACUUGUCGAAAACCUUUCGCAACAAGUCGAGCUUUGCAGACAGUAACAUUACCGUCAGCGUCAGUCUUCUUCUGGAAGAUCCAUUUAUUCUCUAUGGCUUGCCGAUCAUCGGCCAAGUCAACCAAAGUCCACACUUUGUUCUCAUACAUGGAUCCCAUCUCAGAUUUCAUGGCCUCAAGCCAUUUCGCGGAAUCUGGGCUCAUCAUCGCUUCCUCAUAGUUCGUAGGUUCGUCAUGGUCAAGUAACAUGACUUACAGAACAGGAUUACCGUACCACUCUAGUGCAGAUCUUACUCUGGUUGACCUACGAGGUUCGGUAGUAACUUGAUCAGAAGUUUCAUGAUCAUCAUCAUUAGCUUCCUCACUAAUUGGUGUAGGAAUCACUGAAACUGAUUUCUGUGAUGAACUACUUUCCAAUAAGGGAGCAGGUACAAUUACCUCAUCAAGUUCUACUUUCCUCCCAGUCACUUCUUUCGAGAGAAACUCCUUCUCUAGAAAGGAUCCAUUCUUAGCAAUGAAUAUCUUGCCUUCGGAUCUGUGAUAGAAGGUGUACCCAAUAGUCUCCUUUGGGUAUCCUAUGAAGACACAUUUCUCCGAUUUGGGUUCGAGCUUAUCAGGUUGAAGCUUUUUCACAUAAGCAUCGCAGCCCCAAACUUUAAGAAAUGACAACUUGGGUUUCUUGCCAAACCACAGUUCAUACGAUGUCGUCUCAACGGAUUUAGAUGGUGCCCUAUUUAACAUGAAUGCAACUGUCUCUAAAGCAUAACCCUAAAAUGAUAGCGGUAAAUCAGUAAGAGACAUCAUAGAUUGCACCAUAUGUAAUGAAGUGCGGUUACGACGUUCGGACACACCAUUACGAUGUGGUGUUCCGGGUGGCGUGAGUUGCGAAACUAUUCCGCAUUGUUUCAAAUGAAGACCAAACUCGUAACUCAAAUAUUCACCUCCAUGAUCACAUCGUAGAAACUUUAUUUUCUUAUUGCGAUGAUUUUCCACUUCACUCUGAAAUUCUUUGAUCUUUUCAAAUGUUUCAGACUUAUGUUUCAUUAAGUAGAUAUACUCAUAUCUACUCAAAUCAUCUGUGAAGGUCAAAAAAUAAUGAUACCCACCGCAAGCAUCAACACUCAUCGGACCACAUACAUCACUAUGUAUUAUUUCCAAUAAGUCUGUUGCUCGCUCCAUUGUUCUGGAGAACGGAGUCUUAGUCAUCUUGCCCAUGAGGCAUGGUUCACAAGCAUCAAGUGAUUCCAAAAGCCCACCAACAUGGAGUUCUUCAUGCGCUUUACACCAAUAUGACCUAAACGGCAGUGCCACAAAUAAGUUGCACUAUCAUUAUUAAACUUAUAUCUUUUGGCUUCAAUACUAAGAAUAUGUGUAUUACUACUAUCGAGAUUCAACAAAAAUAGACCACUCAUCAAGGGUGCAUGACCAUAAAAGAUAUUACUCAUAUAAAUAAAACAACCAUUAUUAUCUGAUUUAAAUGAAUAUCCGUCUCGCAUCAAACAAGAUCCAGAUAUAAUGUUCAUGCUUAAUGUUGGCAUCAAAUAACAACUAUUCAGGUCUAAAACUAAUCCCGAAGGUAGAUGUAGAGGUGCGUGCCGACGGCGUUCACAUCGACUUUGGAACCAUUUCCCACGCGCAUCGUCACCUCAUCCUUAGCCAAUCUUUUCUUAAUCCAUAGCCCCUGUUUUGAGUUGCAAAUGUGAGCAACAGAACCAGUAUCAAAUACCCAGGCGCUACUACGAGCAUUACUAAGGUACACAUCAAUAACAUGUAUAUCAAAUAUACCUUUCACUUUGCCAUCCUUCUUAUCCGCCAAAUACUUAGGGCGGUUCCGCUUCCAGUGACCAGUCCCUUUGUAGUGGAAGCACUCAGUCUCAGGCUUAGGUCCAGACUUGGGCUUCUUCACUUGAGCAGCAACUUGCUUGCCGUUCUUCUUGAAGUUCCCCUUCUUACCUUUGCUCUUUUUCUUGAAACUAGUGGUCUUGUUAACCAUCAACACUUGAUGAUCCUUAUUGAUUUCUACCUCCACAGCCUUUAGCACCGCGAAGAGCUCGGGAAUUGUCAUAUCCAUCCCUUGCAUAUUAUAGUUCAUCAUGAAGUUUUUGUAGCUUGGUGGCAGUGAUUGAAGAACUCUGUCAAUGACACUAUCAACUGGGAGAUUAACUCCCAGCUGGGUUAAGUGAUUGUGGUACCCAGACAUUCUAAGUAUAUGUUCACUAACAGAACUAUUCUUCUCCAUUUUGCAACUGUAGAACUUAUUGGAAACUUCAUAUCAAUCCGGGCAUUUGCAUGAAAUAUUAACUUCAACUCCUGGAACAUCUAUGCUCCAUGAUGUUCAAAACGUCGUUGAAGUCCUGGUUCUAAGCCGUAAAGCAUGGCACACUGAACUAUUGAGUACUCAUCAGCUUUGCUCUGUCAUGCGUUCAUAACGUUCGGCGUUGCUCCUGCAGCGGGUUUGGCACUCAGCGGUGCUUCCAGGACGUAAUUUUUCUAUGGAACAAUGAGGAUAAUCCUCAAGUUACGGACCUAGUCCAUGUAGUUGCUACCAUCAUCUUUCAACUUAGCUUUCUCUAGGAACGCAUUAAAAUUCAACGAAACAGUAGCACGGGCUAUUUAUCUACAGCAACAUAGACAUGCAAAAUACUAGCAGGUACUAAGUUCAUGAUAAAUUAAAGUUCAAUUAAUCAUAUUACUUAAGAACUCCCACCUAGAUAGACAUCCCUUUAAUCAUCUAAGUGAUCAUGUGAUCCAUAUCAACUAAACCAAGUCUGAUCAUCACGUGAGAUGAAGUAGUUUUCAAUGGUGAACAUCACUAUGUUGAUCAUAUCUACUAUAUGAUUCAUGCUCGACCUUUCGGUCUCAGUGUUCUGAGGCCAUAUCUGCAUAUGCUAGGCUCGUCAAGUUUAACCCGAGUAUUCCGCGUGUGCAAAACUGGCUUGCACCCGUUGUAUGUGAACGUAGAGCUUAUCACACCCGAUCAUCACGUGGUGUCUCGGCACAACGAACUGUAGUAACGGUGCAUACUUAGGGAGAACACUUGUACCUUGAAAUUUAAUGAGAGAUCUUCUUAUAAUGCUACCGCCAUACUAAGCAAAAUAAGCAUAAAAAGAUAAACAUCACAUGCAAUCAAAUAAGUGAUAUGAUAUGGCCAUCAUCAUCUUGUGCCUUUGAUCUCCAUCUCCAAAGCACCGUCAUGAUCACCAUCAUCACUGGCUUGACACCUUGAUCUCCAUCGAAGCAUCGUUGUCGUCUCGCUAACUAUUGCUUCUACGACUAUCGCUACCGCUUAGUGAUAAAGUAAAGCAAUUACAUGGCGGUUGCAUUUCAUACAAUAAAGUGACAACCAUAUGGCUCCUGCCGGGUGCCGAUAACUGUUACAAAACAUUAUCAUCUCAUACAACAAUUUAUAUAUCAUCACGUCUUGACCAUAUCACAUCACAGCAAGCCCUGCAAAAACAAGUUAGACGUGCUCUACUUUGUUGUUGCAAGUUUUACGUGGCUGCUACAGGCUUCUACCAAGAACCGUUCUUACCUACGCAUCAAAACCACAAUGAUUUUUCGUCAAGUGUGCUGUUUUAACCUUCAACAAGGACCGGACGUAGUCACACUUGAUUCAACUAAAGCUGGAGAAACAGACACCCAUUAGCCACCUAUGUGCGAAGCACGACGGUAGAACCAGUCUCACGAACGCGGUCAUGUAAUGUCGGUCUGGGCCGCUUCAUCCUACAAUACCGCCGAAUCAAAGUAUGACAUGUUGGUAAGCAGUAUGACUAUUAUCGCCCACAACUCUUUGUGUUCUGCUCAUGCAUAUAACAUAUACGCAUAGACCUAGCUCGGAUGCCAUUGUUUCGGAACGUAGUAUUUAAUUUUUUUGCCUACGAUCACGCAAGAUCUAUCUAGGAGAAGCAUAGCAACGAGCAGGGAGAGUGUGUCCACGUACCCUCGUAGACCAAAAGCGGAAGCGUUUAGUAACGCAGUUGAUGUACUCGAACAUCUUCAUGAUCCAACCGAUCCAAGUACAGAAUGCACGACACCUCCGUGAUCUGCACACAUUCAGCUCGGUGACGUCCCUCGAACUCUUGAUCCAGCUGAGGCCGAGGGAGAGUUUCAUCAGCACGACAGCAUGGUGAUGGUGAUGAUGAAGUUACUGACGUAGGUCUUCGCCUAAGCACUACGACAAUAUGACCGGGGUGGAAAACUGUCGAGGGGGCACCGCACACGGCUAAAGAUCAACUUGUGUGUCUAUGGGGUGCCCCCCUCCCCCGUAUAUAAAGGAGGGGAGGAGGAGGCCGGGCGGCCCUAGGGGGCACGCCCAAGGGGGGAGUCCUACUCCAAGUAGGAAUCGGCUCCCCCCUUUCCUAGUCCAAGUAGGAGAAGAAGGAAGGAGAGGGAGAGGGAGAGGGAAAGAGGGGUCGUGCCUGAGGGAGUCCUGGACUAAGGGGUCCUCGGGCGUCCGACCUAUUAGACAUGGUCUGGACUGAUGGGUUGUGAAGAUACGAAGACCGAAGACUCUACCCGUGUCUCGAUGGGACUCUCCUUGGCGUGGAAGGCAAGCUUGGCGUCCGAAUAUGAAGAUUCCUUUCUCUGUAACCGACCUUGUGUAACCCUAGGUCCCUCCGGAGUCUAUAUAAACCGGAGGGCUAGGUCCGUAGAGAGAUCCUCAUAAUCAUAGUCAGACAGGCUAGACUUUUAGGGUUUAGCCAUCACGAUCUCAUGGUAGAUCAACUCUUGUAAUACUCAUAUUCAUCAAGAUCAAUCAAGCAGGAAGUAGGGUAUUACCUCCAUAUAGAGAGGGCCCAAACCUGGGUAAACAUUGUGUCCUUGUCUCCUGUUACCAUCGACCUUAGACGCACAGUUCGGGACCCCCUACCUGAGAUCCGCCGGUUUUGACACCGACAUUGGUGUUUUCAUUGAGAGUUCCACUGUGCCGUUGUCAAAAGGUUUGAUGGCUCCUUCAAUCAUCUACAAUGACGUUGUCCAAGGGGAAGUCUUCCUCCCCGGACAGAUCUUCGUGUUCGGCGGCUUCGCAAUGUGGGCCAACUCGCUUGGCCAUCUGGAGCAGAUCGAAAGCUACGCCUGGCCAUCAGGUCAGAUUUGGAAGCUUGAACUACGUCGCGGAUAUCCGUGGAGACUUGAUCUUCGACGGAUUCGAGACCACGGCAGUCGCUCCCUGCCACCAUGAUGAACAUGGUGUAAAUCUGUCAUCGGUCCAUACCCAGGAGAUAGCACCUGUAGCUGCUCUGGCCCUAGAUCCGGAGCAGAUCGUGCCAUCCGAAGACAGGAAGCUCAACCCCGCCGCGGAAGCCGCAGACUCAGCAGAGCUGGAGCCGCACACAGACCUAACUUCAAGUGACAUCUACGCCGCCAGAACCACAGACUUGUCUCUGGCUACAGGAUCCGAACCUUGUGCAUCCGCAUACGUCGAGCUCGAUCGGUCAUCGAUCAUCGAAUUCAGCUCCACGGACAUCUUCCGGCACACGCCUUUGGGCGACAUGUUAAACUCGUUAAGAGCACUAUCCUUAGUGGGGGGCUCACAGCCGAAUUAUACCCGGUUCGAACUGGAGGCUGAUGACGGAGAAUUUCGCUUCCUACCCACCACCCACUUCAUAGCCACUGUCGAAGACUUAACCGACACGCUCGAUUACGGCUCCGACGACAUUGAUGGUUGAUACGUCUCCAACGUAUCUAUAAUUUUUGAUUGCUCCAUGCUAUAUUAUCUACUGUUUUGAAUGUUUAUGAUCUUUAUUAUACACUUUUAUAUCAUUUUUGGGACUAACCUAUUAACCCAGAGCCCAGUACCAGUUUCUGUUUUUACCCUGUUUUAGGGUUUCGAAGAAAAGGAAAAUCAAACGGAGUCCAAUUGACCUAAAACUUCACGGAACUCUUUUUUGGAAGGAAAGAAGCCCAGAAGACUUGGAGUGCACGUCGGGGGAUCUGCAAGGAGGUCACGAGGCAGGGGGCACGCCCACCCCCCUGGCAGAUUGCUGUUAUGUUUGCAUUGUUUGCAUAUGUUUGCUUCUUUAAUGAUUCUAUUUGAGGAUAGGACUAUUAAAUAUGCAGAAGAAUUUAGUAUGCAAUGUUGAAUAAUAAUUUUAGUGAUUUGCUACAGUAGAGUAUGAUAAGGUUUUGGCAAUGGUUUAUACUAACUUAUCUCACGAGUCCUUGUUGAGUUUUGUGUGGAUCAAGCUUUUGAGAUUUAGGAAGACCGUGAUAUGAGAGGAAUUAAGGAGACACAAAAGCUCAAGCUUGGGUAUGCCCAAGGAACCCCAAGAUAAUAUUUCAAGAAGUCUCAAGCGUCUAAGCUUGGGGAUGCCCCGGUUGGCAUCCCACCUUUCUUCUUCAACAACUAUCGGUUAGUAUCGGUUGAUCCUAAGUUUUUGCUUCUUCACAUGAUGUUUGCUAUUCUUAGAAUGUCAUUUUAUUUUGCUUUGCUUUCUGUUUGAAUAAAAUACAAGAUCUGAAAUUCUUAAAUGUUAGAGAGUCUUCACAUAGUUGCAUAAUUAUUCAACUACUCAUUGAUCUUCAUUUAUAUCUUUCGGAGUAGUUUGUUGUUGCUCUAGUGCUUCACUUAUAUCUUUUAGAGCAUGGUGGUAGUUUUAUUUUAUAAGAAAUAGAUGAAAUCUCAUGCUUCACUUAGAUUAUUUUGAGAGUUUUAAAUAGCAUGGUAAUUUGCUUAAAUAAUCCUAAUAUGCUAGGCAUCCAAGAAUAGUAAAAACUUUCAUAUAGGGCAUUGAAUACUAUGAGAAGUUUGAUACUUGAUAAUUGUUUUGAGAUAUGGAGAUGGUGAUAUUAGAGUCAUGCUAGUUGAGUGGUUAUGAAUUUGAGAAAUACUUGUGUUGAAGUUUGUGCUUCCCGUAGCAUGCACGUAUGGUGAACCGUUAUGUGAUGAAGACGGAGCAUGAUUUAUUUAUUGAUUGUCUUCCUUAUGAGUGGCGGUCGGGGACGAGCGAUGGUAUUUUCCUACCAAUCUAUCCCCCUAGGAGCAUGCGCAUAAUACUUUGCUUUGAUAACUUGUAGAUUUUUGCAAUAAGUAUAUGAGUUCUUUAUGACUAAUGUUGAGUCCAUGGAUUAUACGCACUCUCACCCUUCCACCCUUCCUAGCCUCUCUAGUACCGCGCACCUUUCACCAGUACCAUAAACCCACCAUUUACCUUCCUCAAAACAGCCACCAUACCUACCUAUUAUGGCAUUUCCAUAGCCAUUUCGAGAUAUAUUGCCAUGCAACUUUCCACCGUUCCGUUUAUUAUGACACGCUUCAUCAUUGCCAUAUUGCUUUGCAUGAUCAUGUAGUUGACAUCGUAUUUGUGGCAAAGCCGCCAUUCAUAAUUAUUCAUACAUGUCACUCAUGCAUCAUUGCACAUCCCGGUACACCGCCGGAGGCAUUCAUAUAGAGUCAUAUCUUGUUCUAAGUAUCGAGUUAUAAUUCUUGAGUUGUAAGAAAAUAAAAGUGUGAUGAUCAUCAUUAUUAGAGCAUUGUCCCAGUGAGGAAAGGAUCAUGGAGACUAUGAUUCCCCCACAAGUCGGGAUGAGACUCCGGACGAAAAUAAAUAAAUAAAAGAGGCCAAAGAAGCCCAAAUAAAAAAAAGAAAGAAAAGAGGCCAUAAAAAGAGAAGGCCCAAAUAAAAAAAAUAAAAAAUGAGAGAAAAAGAGAGAAGGGGCAAUGCUACUAUCCUUUUACCACACUUGUGCUUCAAAGUAGCACCAUGAUCUUCAUGAUAGAGAGUAUCCUAUGUUGUCACUUUCAUAUACUAGUGGGAAUCUUUCAUUAUAGAACUUGGCUUGUAUAUUCCAAUGAUGGGCUUCCUCAAAAUGCCCUAGGUCUUCGUGAGAAAGCAAGUUGGAUGCACACCCACUAGUUUCUUUUGUUGAGCUUUCAUACAUUUAUAGCUCUAGUGCAUCCGUUGCAUGGCAAUCCCUACUCACUCACAUUGAUAUCUAUUGAUGGGCAUCCCCAUAGCCCAUUGAUACACCUAGUUGAUGUGAGACUAUCUUCUCCUUUUUGUCUUCUCCACAACCACCAUUCUAUUCCACCUAUAGUGCUAUGUCCAUGGCUCACGCUCAUGUAUUGCGUGAAGAUUGAAAAAGUUUGAGAACAUCAAAAGUAUGAAACAAUUGCUUGGCUUGUCAUCGAGGCUCUGCAUGGUUUAAAUAUUUUGUGUGGUGAAGAUAGAGCAUAGACAGACUAUAUGAUUUUGUAGGGAUAGCUUUCUUUGGCCAUGUUAUUUUGAGAAGACAUAAUUGCUUAGUUAGUAUGCUUGAAGUAUUAUCAUUUUUAUGUCAAUAUGAACUUUUGUCUUGAAUCUUAUGGAUCUGAAUAUUCAUACCACAAUUAAGAAGAAUUACAUUAAAAUUAUGCCAAGUAGCACUCCGCAUCAAAAAUUCUAUUUUUAUCAUUUACCUACUUGAGGACGAGCAGGAAUUAAGCUUGGGGAUGCUUGAUACGUCUCCAACGUAUCUAUAAUUUUUGAUUGCUCCAUGCUAUAUUAUCUAUUGUUUUGAAUGUUUAUGGGCUUUAUUAUACACUUUUCUAUCAUUUUUGGGACUAACCUAUUAACCCAGAGCCCAGUGCCAGUUUCUGCUUUUUACCCUGUUUUAGGGUUUCGAAGAAAAGGAAAAUCAAACGGAGUCCAGUUGACCUAAAACUUCACGGAACUCAUUUUUGGAAGGAAAGAAGCCCAUAAGACUUGGAGUGCACGUCGGGGGAUCUGCGAGGAGGUCACGAGGCAAUGGGCACGCCCACCCCCUGGGCGCGCCCUCCACCCUCGUGAGCCCCUCGUGGCCCCCCUAACGUACUUCUUCCGCCUAUAUAUCUCCAUGUACCCUAAAAACAUCCAUGAGCACAAUAGAUCUUGAGUUCCGCCGCCAGAAGCCUCCGUAGCCACCGAAAGCGAAUCUAGACCCGUUCCGGCACCCGGCCAGAGGGGGAAUCCUUCUCCGGUGGCCAUCUUCAUCAUCCCGGUGCUCUCCAUGACGAGGAGGGAGUAGUUCUCCCUCGGGGCUGAGGGUAUGUACCAGUAGCUAUUUGUUUGAUCUCUCUCUCUCUCUUGUGUUCUUGAUUUGGCAUGAUCUUGAUGUAUCGCGAGCUUUGCUAUUAUAUUUGGAUCCUAUGAUGUUUCUUCCCCCCUCUACUCUCUUGUAAUGAAUUGAGUUUCUCCUUUGAAGUAAUAUUAUCGGAUUGAGUCUUUAAAGAUUUGAGAACACUUGAUGUAUGUCUUGCCGUGCGUAUCUGUGGUGACAAUGGGAUACCACGUGCCACUUGAUGUAUGUUAAGGUGAUCAACUUGCGGGUUUCGUGACAUUGGGAACCUAUGCAUGGGGAUUGGCACACGUUUUCGUCGUGAUUCUCCGGUAGAACUUUGGGGCACUCUUUGAGGUCCUUUGUGUUGGUUGAAUAGAUGAAUCUGAGAUUGUGUGAUGCAUAUCGUAUAAUCAUACCCACGGAUACUUGAGGUGACAUUGGAGUAUCUAGGUGACAUUAGGGUUUUGGUUGAUUUGUGUCUUAAGGUGUUAUUCUAGUACGGACUCUAGGGAUGUUUGUGACACUUAUAGGAAUAGCCCAACGGAUUGAUUGGAAAGAAUAACUUUGAGGUGGUUUCGUACCCUACCAUAAUCUCUUCAUUUGUUCUCCGCUAUUAGUGACUUUGGAGUGACUCUUUGUUGCAUGUUGAGGGAUAGUUAUGUGAUCCAAUUAUGUUAGUAUUGUUGAGGGAACUUACACUAGCGAAAGUAUGAACCCUAGGCCUUGUUUCAACACAUUGCAAUACCGUUUACGCUCACUUUUAUCAUUCGUUACCUUGCUGUUUUUAUAAUUUCAGAUUACAAAUACUCAUAUCUACUAUCCAUAUUGCAUUUGUAUCACCAUCUCUUCGCCGAACUAGUGCAGCUAUACAAUUUACCAUUGUAUUGGGUGUGUUGGGGACACAAGAGACUCUUUGUUAUUUGGUUGCAGGGUUGCUUGAGAGAGACCAUCUUCAUCCUACGCCUCCUACGGAUUGAUAAACCUUAGGUAAUCCACUUGAGGGAAAUUUGCUAUUGUCCUACAAACCUCUGCACUUGGAGGCCCAACAAUGUCUACAAGAAGAAGGUUGUGUAGUAUACAUCAAUGGUAUGGACGAUGAUGCCGGAGAAGAAGAGGCCCAAAACCCGCCGUUUACCGGACGCUGGACGGCCACUUCCUCGUAUGAUGUAUACAUGGUGGAUGCACCAAAAGAGAAUAGCAUCGAUGACAAGGAGGAUCCGGUUGAGGAUAAACCUCCCGAGAUACAACCAAAGCGUCGGUGUUAGUGGUGCCGCUCUAAGUCACGCCGCAGCAAAGACAACAACACCGGCACAGGAGAAGACAACACUCCAGACGGUGCCGAAGAUAAUGAAGACCCUGUUCAUCCAAAUUCCGAACAGGAUGAACGAGAAGAUGGGCAAGUUAGCCCUGGUAAACAGGCCACACAUGAAGACUCGGAGGACAGUAAUUAUCUUCCGCUCUCCAAGGACGAGGCAAGCCUCGGCACCGAGGAUUUUAUCAUGCCUGAGGAACCUCUCGAACAGGAGCGCUUCAAGCGCCAGCUAAUAGCCACUACAAGGAGCCUGAAAAAGAAACAAAAACAGCUACAAGAUGAUCAAGAUCUGCUCAAUGAUAGAUGGACUGAUGUCCUGGCAGCCGAGGAACAUGGCCUCAAGCGACCACUCAAAAGUUACCCAAAGCGCAAAUUGCUACCUCAAUUUGAUGACGAGGUGUUGGAGCCCAGGCCGUCAGUACACAAUGCGGCUGCCCGACCACCACGUGGUCAGGACAAAGCGGCAACACAAACCGAACACCAACCCGCCCUACCUCGCCGUAAAGGUAGAAACAAAAUUGCUCAGGGGUACACGUAUGAUCUCCGGCAGGGCCUGAAGAAUAAAACAGGCCCCGCCAGAUCGAUCUACGGAUCUCGGGGGCGUGCCUCGACGUGUGACGACGGCUAUCAAGCUGAGCAUGACAAGCCUAGUCAUACGCGGGCCGAAAACCACAGACGGACUCCAUCGGAGCUACGUCGUGAUGUGGCCCGAUAUAGAGGCGCCACACACCCUCUUUGCUUCACUGACGAAGUAAUGGAGCAUGAAUUCCCAGAAGGGUUUAAACCUGUGAAUAUUGAAUCAUACGAUGGAACAACUAAUCCCGCGGUAUGGAUUGAGGAUUUUCUUCUCCAUAUCCAUAUGGCCCGCGGAGAUGACCUCCACGCCAUCAAAUACCUCCCGUUAAGACUCAAAGGGCCAGCUCGGCACUGGUUAAACAGUCUGCCCGAAAACUCCAUUGGCAGCUGGGAGGAUUUGGAAGACGCCUCCGCAACAACUUCCAAGGUACAUAUGUCCGGCCACUAGACGCCGAUGACUUAAGCCAUAUAGUUCAAUAGCCCGGAGAGUCAGCCAGGAAAUUCUGGACUAGGUUCCUAACUAAAAAUAACCAGAUAGUCGACUGUCCGGAUGCCGAAGCCCUAGCGACCUUCAAACACAGCGUCCGCGACGAAUGGCUCACCCGCCACCUCGGCCAAGAAAAGCCGAAGUCCAUGGCAGCCCUCACGACACUCAUGACCCGCUUUUGUGCGGGUGAAGAUAGUUGGCUGGCCCGUAGCAAAAACAAUGCAAGCAACGCCGGCACCUCUGAAGCCAGAAAUAGCAAUGACAAGUCCUGACGCAACAGACACAUGCGUCGAAACAACAAUGACAACACCGAUGAUACGGAGGUCAAUGCAGGAUUCAGUGGCUCUAAGUCCAGUCAGCGGAAGAAGUCGUUCAAAAAGAACAAUUCGGGCUCAUCUAGCUUGGACCGCAUAAUCGAUCGUCUGUGCCAGAUCCAUGGCACCCCAGACAAACUACCCAAUCAUACCAACAAAGAUUGUUGGGUUUUCAAACAGGCCGGCAAGUUAGGCCGAAAGCAAGGAGAAGGUAUCGCAAAGCGAGGACGACGACGAGGAGCCCCGACCACCGAACACAGGGGGACAGAAGAAGUUUCCCCAUCAGGUCAAAACGGUGAACAUGAUAUACGCUACCCACAUCCCCAAGAGCGAGCGCAAGCGCGCGCUCAGGGAUGUCUAUGCGAUAGAGCCAGUCGCCCCAAAAUUUAAUCCAUGGUCAUCAUGCCCGAUCACUUUCGAUGUCGGGAUCAUCCGACUAGUAUCCGUCACGGCGGUUCAGCCGCACUGGUCCUGGACCCAAUAAUUGAUGGGUUCCACCUGACGCGAGUCCUGAUGGACGGUGGUAGCAACCUCAACCUGCUCUACCAGGAUACAGUGCGCAAAAUGGACAUUAAUCCAUCACGGAUCAAGCCCACAAAGACCACCUUUAAAGGAGUCAUACCAGGUGUAGAGGCCCGUUGUACAGGCUCAAUCACACUAGAGGUUGUCUUCGGGUCUCCGGACAACUUCCGAAGCGAGGAGUUAAUCUUCGAUAUCGUCCCCUUUUGCAGCGGCUAUCACGCACUGCUUAGACGAAUCGCAUUUGCUCGAUUCAACGCGAUGCCACACUACGCUUACCUCAAGCUCAAGAUUCCCGGACCACGCGGCAUCAUAACGGUUAAUGGAAACACGAAACGUUCCCUCCGCACCGAGGAGCACACCGCGGCCUUAGCAGCAUAUAUACAGAGCGGCCUUUCCAAGAAGAACCUUAAUUCAACGAUCGAGCUCUCAGACACUGUUAAGAGAGUCCGGACUAUUCUGCAGCAGGACAACUCAGCUCGUCAAGAGCUCGACUAGCAAUUCGGCCUCCGUCCCAGUCCCGACCAAGUGGCGGCAAUUGUACCGCGCGUACAUAACUACGCACUCAAAAUACCAUGGGCAUGGAUGGAGGCAUAACUAGCUUGUGAUCCACAAUACGGCUCGGCCGCCCCUGGACACACAUACUUUCACUGUUUCCAUUUUCCCUCCUUUUUUAGGUUUCUUCUUCACACACCUUCCCUGACGGCUUGACCAUCGAUUCUUUUCGAAGGAUAAUAACACCAAGAUGACAAGAAGCAUGGACAUGCUGGGGAAUUUUUUAGGUGGUUUCUUUAACGAUCCCUUUACCUGUUUUCAGGACCCACACACAGCUUUCCCUUGGUUAAGUCAUAUCAAAUAGCCUUUUGCUUAUUGCACUACUUAUAUAAAUGCGCUUUAGCGCACCAAUGAAAUUAUAAUGGAAACAAUUUGCGGACCAAAUUUUACGGCUCUAGCUUACUACCUUUUCUUAUUUUUCUUUUUUGAUAACUUUAUCAAAUAGCAUCUGUACACUCUGGUACGUUUCAAAUUGCCAGGGGCUUCAUAGCGCCCCACAACAUGGCAACAAAGUCCGAACACUUUUUACAGUAUAGUUCGGCACCCCGAAUUUAGCACUAUAUGCAUUGGCUCCAAAUCAUGUCUUUGGUCAAUAGUUGGGUUGCCCGGCUCCUGUGCUUGCUACCUUACAUUCCGCUAUAUCGGCUAGGGUAGUAAAGGGAGAACUACUGCGAUUGUGCCCUGGUUUACCCGGCUGAGCACCUCAGUAGAGAAAGCCGAAAAUUGACUGUCAUGAUGCGGCGAGAGCCGGUCAGCUCUUCGGAGGUCUCAAAUCCUUAAAGAUUUUUUACGCAUUACGCGAGGGAUCGGUAUUUACCCGGUCAGGUGUUUACAACAUCCUAGUCCAGAUACUAGGGGUUGCGCCUAUAUUUUUAUUGUCAAACUCCUAUUGAUAAGUGAGGGUGCUAAAGCCGCAUAGUCUGAUUGCCUGGUUCAUCGUGCUAAACACCUCCUUCAAGGACCAAACAAUUGGAUCAAGAGUGUUUAGAUUACAUCCCGGACACCCCCGUACUACCUACAUGGGGGCAGAAGCCGACGACUGGCCAACUCUCAGAUUUCACACAACACGGCCGAACAUGAGGUGAAAUUUCUUAAAAAAACAUUAUAUUACAUAACGACUUUGUUUCAUCAUACAAGGCAGAGACAACAUGAAUGAAUUCAUUCGAAAAUAAUGUCUUGCGCACAUUGCAUUUCCACAAUACGAGACCCCUCCAGGACGUCUUCAAAGUACCGCUCGGGCGUGCGGUGCUCCUUGCCCUCUGGUGGUCCCCCGGUCGUCAGCUUGACGGCGUCCAUCUUCGCCCACCACACCUUGACGCGGGUGAAGGCCAUGCGCGUGCCCUUGAUGGAGACCGACCGCUUGACAACGUCCAACCGAGGGCAAGCAUUCACCAGCCGCUUCACGAGCCCGAAGUAGCUGUCGGGCAUAGCUUCGACAGGCCACAGCCGGAUUAUUAAAUCCUUCAUGGCCAGUUCAGCCACCCUAUGCAGCUCGACAAGCUGUUUUAGAUGAUCACUGAAGGGCACUGGAUGUUCUGGCGCAAGAUAUUGCGACCAGAACAGCUUCUCCGUAGAGCUCCCAUCUUCGGUUCGGAAGAACUCCGCAGCGUCAGACACAUUGCGUGGCAGACCCGCAAACGCCCCUGGAGAACUCCGAAUCCGGGUUAGUAAGAGAUACUUCUCCUUCACAUAUUUUCUUUGCAUACUAAAUGCCUUACCCGCCGCAAUUUUCUUGGCCUCCUAGAUCUCCUGGAGGGCGCCCCGGGCCUCAAUCCGGGCCUCUUCCGCGCUUUGACGGUCCGUAGCGAGUUCGGUCUCUCGAGCCAAAAUGUCGCGCUCCAAGGAUUCACAUUUCUUCAUCGCAUCCUGGAGCUCUUGUUGGACCUCAUCCAGCCGGGCCUCGUGCUUCUCACGGGCAGCCUUUUCCUUGUCCGCUUUCUCCUCGGCCUGGGCUAGGGCCGGUUUAAGGACCUCGACCUCGGCCACCUCUCCUACACAUAUCACGGCACUACAGUCAAUACGCAUUAUUUAUUCCUUCUGAAUAUACAGCUAGACAAUACAUACCAUGCUGGUCUUCUAGCUGCUUGAUACGUCCAUUUUGCAUCAUGCUUUUAUAUCGAUAUUUAUUGCAUUAUGGGCUGUUAUUACACAUUAUGUCACAAUACUUAUGCCUAUUCUCUCUUAUUUUACAAGGUUUGCAUGAAGAGGGGGAAUGCCGGCAGCUGGAAUUCUGGGCUGGAAAAGGAGCAAAUAUUAGAGACCUAUUCUGCACAUCUCCAAAAGUCCUGAAACUUCAUGGGAGCACGUUUCAGAAUAUAUAAAAAUAUUGGGUGAAAGAAUGUGGGGGGCCACCCACCGUCCACGAGGGUGGGGGGCGCGCCCUACCUCCUGGGCGUGCCCCACUGCCUCGUGGGCCCCCUCGUGGCCCUCUGAUGCCCAUCUUUUACUAUAUGAGGUCUUUCGUUCGAGAAAAAUGUUAUGCAAGCUCAUGGGACGAAACUCCGCCGCCACGAGGCGGAACCUUGGCGGAACCAAUCUAGGGCUCCGGCGGAGCUGUUCUGCUGGGGAAACUUCCCUCCGGGAGGGGGAAAUCAUCAUCAUCAUCAUCACCAACGAUCCUCUCAUCGGGAGGGGGGUCAAUCUCCAUCAACAUCUUCACCAACACCAUCUCAUCUCAAACCCUAGUUCAUCUCUUGUAUCCAAUCUUUGUAUCCAAACCUCAGAUUGGUACCUAUGGGUUGCUAGUAGUGUUGAUUACUCCUUGUAGUUGAUGCUAGUUGUUUUACUUGGUGGAAGAUCAUAUGUUCAGAUCCAUCAUGUAUAUUAAUACCCCUCUUAUUAUGAACAUGAAUAUGCUUUGUGAGUAGUUACGUUUGUUCCUGAGGACAUGGGAGAAGUCUUGCUAUAAGUAGUCAUGUGAAUUUGGUAUUCGUUCGAUAUUUUGAUGAGAUGUAUGUUGUCAUCCCUCUAGUGAUGUUAUGUGAACGUCGACUACAUGACACUUCACCAUUGUUUGGGCCUAGAGGGAGGCAUUGGGAAGUAAUAGAUGAUGGGUUGCUAGAGUGACAGAAGCUUAGACCCUAGUUUAUGCGUUGCUUCGUAAGGGGCUGAUUUGGAUCCAUAUGUUUCAUGUUAUGGUUAGGUUUACCUUAAUACUUCUGUUGUAGUUGCGGAUGCUUGCAAUAGGGGUUAACCAUAAGUGGGAUGCUUGUCCAAGUAAGGGCAGUACCCAAGCACCGGUCCACCCACAUAUCAAAUUAUCAAAGUACCGAACGCGAAUCAUAUGAACGUGCUGAAAACUAGCUUGACGAUAAUUCCCAUGUGUCCUCGGGAGCGCUUUCCUUCAUAUAAGAGUUUGUCCAGGCUUGUACUUUGCUACAAAAAGGAUUGGUCCAUCAUGCUGCACCUUAUUUACUUUUAUUACUUGCUACUCAUUACAAAUUACCUUAUCACAAAACUAUCAGUUACCUAUAAUUUCAGUGCUUGCAGAGAAUACCUUACUGAAAACUGCUUAUCAUUUCCUUCUGCUCCUCGUUGGGUUCGACACUCUUACUUAUCGAAAAGGCUACGAUACAUCCCCUAUAGUUGUGGGUCAUCAAGAAUCUUUUCUGGCGCCGUUGUCGGGGAGUGAAGCGCCUUUGGUAGGUGGAAUUCAGUAAGGAAAAUUUUAUAUAGUGUGCUGAAAUUUACUAUCACUUGUUACUAUGGAACAUAAUCCUUUGAGGGGCUUGUUCGGGGUAUCUUCACCCUGACCAGUAGAGCAAAGAGUUUCUCCUCAACCUACUGAACCUACUGAAAAUGUUUACUUUGAAAUUCCUUCGGGUACGAUAGAGAAACUGCUAGCUAAUCCUUUUGCAGGAGAUGGAACAUUGCAUCCCGAUUUACACUUAAUCUAUGUGGAUGAAGUUUGUGGGUUAUUUAAGCUUGCAGGUAUGCCCGAUGAUGUUAUCAAGAAGAAGGUCUUCCCUUUAUAUUUGAAGGGAGAGGCAUUGACAUGGUAUAGGCUAUGUGAUGAUAUGGGAUCAUGGGACUACAAGCGAUUGAAAUUGGAAUUUCAUCAGAAGUUUUAUCCUAUGCAUCUUGUUCAUCAUGAUCGUAAUUAUAUAUAUAAUUUUUGGCCUCGCGAAGGAGAAAGCAUCGCUCAAGCUUGGGGGAGGCUUAAGUCAAUGUUAUAUUCAUGCCCCAAUCAUGAGCUCUCAAGAGAAAUGAUUAUUCAAAAAAUUUAUGCUCGGCUUUCUCUCAGUAAUCACUCCAUGCUCGAUACUUCUUGUACUGGAUCUUUUAUGAUGAAGACUAUUGAAUUCAAAUGGGAUUUAUUGGAAAGAAUUAAACGCAACUCUGAAUAUUGGGACCUCGACGAAGGUAAGGAGUCAGGUAUAACACCUAAGUUUGAUUGUGUUAAAUCUUUUAUGGAUACCGAUGCUUUCCGUGAAUUUAGCACUAAAUAUGGACUUGACUCUGAGAUAGUAGCUUCUUUCUGUGAAUCCUUUGAUACUCAUGUUGAUCUCCCUAAGGAGAAGUGGUUUAAAUAUAAUCCUCCCACUGAAGUAAAAGUAGUUGCACCUAUUAAAGUUGAAGAAAAGACUAUCACUUAUGAUGAUCCUGUUGUUCCUGCUGCUUAUAUUGAGAAGCCACCUUUCCCUGUUAGAAUAAAGGAUCAUGCUAAAGUUUCAACUGUGGUUAAAAAAAGUAACAUUAAGACACAUAAACCCCCUGAGAAAAUUAAAGUUGAACCUAAAAUUGCUAUGGUUAAAGAUCUCUUGGCCGAUAAUAUUAAUGGGCAUAUUUACUUCUGCAAUGAAGCUGCUAGAAUUGCUAGACCUGAUGCUAAAAAUAAACAUAGGCCUGUUGUAGGCAUGCCUGUUAUUUCCGUUAAAAUAGGAGAUCAUUGUUAUCAUGGCUUAUGUGAUAUGGGUGCUAGUGAAAGUGCAAUACCUCAUUCCUUAUACAAACAAAUUAUGCAUGAUAUUGUACCUGCUGAGAUAGAAGAUAUCGAUGUUACCAUUAAACUUGCCAAUAGAGAUACUAUUUCACUGAUUGGGAUUGUUAGAGAAGUUGAAGUCUUGUGUGGGAAGGUUAAAUAGCAUGCUGAUUUUCUUGUUCUUGGUUCCCCACAAGAUAGCUUUUGUCCCAUUAUAUUUGGUAGACCCUUCUUGAAUACUGUUAAUGCUAAGGUAGACUGCAACAAGGAUAUUGUUUCUGUUGGUAUAGGGGAUAUGUCUCAUGAGUUUAAUUUUGCUAAAUUUCAUAGACAACCCCAUGAUAAAGAAUUGCCUAGUAAAGAUGAAAUUAUUGGUCUCGCUUCUAUUGUCGUGCCUCCUACUGAUCCUUUAGAACAAUAUUUGCUAGACCAUGAAAAUGAUAUAUAUAUAUAUGAAUGAAAGAAGGGAAAUAGAUGAAGUAUUCUUUAAACAGGGACCUAUUCUGAAACACAACUUGCCUGUUGAAAUCCUAGGGGAUCCUCCUCCACCCAAGGGUGAUCCCGUGUUUGAGCUUAAACCAUUGCCUGAUACUCUUAAAUAUGCUUAUCUUGAUGAAAAGAAGAUAUAUCCUGUUAUUAUUAGUGCUAACCUUUCAAAGCACGAAGAAGAGAGAUUAUUGAAAACUCUGAAGAAGCAUCGUGCUGCUAUUGGAUAUACUCUUGAUGAUCUUAAGGGCAUUAGUCCCACUCUAUGUCAACACAAGAUAAAUUUGGAGAAAGAUGCCAAACCAGUUAUUGAUCAUCAACGACGGCUAAAUCCUAAGAUGAAAGAAGUGGUAAGAAAGGAAAUAUUAAAGCUCCUUGAAGCAGGUAUAAUUUAUCCCGUUGCUGAUAGUCAGUGGGUAAGCCCUGUCCAUUGUGUCCCUAAGAAAGGAGGUAUUACAAUCGUUCCUAAUGAUAAAGAUGAAUUGAUUCCGCAAAGAAUUAUUACAGGUUAUAGGAUGGUAAUUGAUUUCUGCAAAUUAAAUAAAGCUACUAAAAAUAUCAUUAUCCUUUGCCUUUCAUUGAUCAAAUGCUAGAAAGAUUAUCCAAACAUACACAUUUUUUCUUUCUAGAUGGUUACUCUGGUUUCUCUCAAAUACCUGUGUCAGUUGAUGAUCAAGAAAAGACUACUUUUACUUGCCCUUUCAGUACCUUUGCUUAUAGACGUAUGCCUUUUGGUUUAUGUAAUGCACCUGCUACCUUUCAAAGAUGCAUGAGGCUAUAUUCUCUGACUUUUGUGAAAAGAUUUGUGAAGUUUUCAUGGAUGAUUUCUCUGUUUAUGGAUCCUCUUUUGAUGAUUGCUUGAGAAACCUUGAUUGGGUUUUGCAGAGAUGUGAAAAAACUAACCUUGUCUUGAAUAGGGAGAAGUGCCACUUUAUGGUUAAUGAAGGUAUUGUCUUGGGGCAUAAAAUUUCUGAAAGAGGUAUUGAAGUUGACAAAGCUAAAGUUGAUGCUAUUGAAAAGAUGUCAUGUCCCAAGGACGUCAAAGGUAUAAGAAGUUUCCUUAGUCAUGCCGGUUUUUAUAGGAGGUUCAUUAAGGACUUCUCAAAAAAUUUCCGGCCUCUGACUAACCUAUUGCAAAAAGAUAUUCCUUUGGCCGUUGAUGAUGAUUGUGUAGAAGCAUUUGAAAUACUUAAGAAAGCCUUGAUUUCUUUACCCAUUGUUCAACCACCUGAUUGGAAUUUACCUUUUGAAAUUAUGUGUGAUGCUAGUGAUUAUGCUGUAGGGGCUGUCCUAGGACAAAGAGUUGAUAAAAAAUUAAAUGUUAUUCAAUAUGCUAGUAAAACUCUAGACAAUGCCCAGAGAAAUUAUGCUACUACUGAAAAGGAAUUCUUAGCAGUUGUAUUUGCUUGUGAUAAGUUCAGACCUUAUAUCGUUGAUUCUAAAGUAACUAUUCACACUGAUCAUGCUGCUAUUAAAUAUCUUAUGGAAAAGAAAGAUGCUAAACCUAGACUUAUUAGAUGGGUCCUCCUGCUACAAGAAUUUGAUUUGCAUAUUAUUGAUUGAAAGGGAGCUGAGAAUCCCGUUGUAGACAACUUGUCUAGGUUAGAGAAUGUUCUUGAUGACCCACUAUCUAUUGAUGAUAGCUUUCCUGAUGAACAAUUAGCUGUCAUAAAUGCUUCUCGCACUGCUCCAUGGUAUGCUGAUUAUGCUAAUUACAUUGUUGCUAAAUUUAUACCACCUAGUUUCACAUACCAACAAAAGAAAAGGUUCUUCUAUGAUUUAAGACAUUAUUUUUGGGAUGACCCACAUCUUUAUAAACGAGUAGAUGGUGUUAUUAGACGUUGUGUACCUGAGCAUGAACAGGAACAAAUCCUACAUAAGUGUCACUUUGAGGCUUAUGGAGGACACCAUGCUGGAGAUAGAACUGCACACAAGGUAUUGCAAUCCGGUUUUUAUUGGCCUACUCUCUUCAAGGAUGCCCGUAAGUUUGUCUUGUCUUGUGAUGAAUGUCAAAGAAUUGGUAAUAUUAGUAGACGUCAAGAAAUGCCUAUGAAUUAUUCACUUGUUAUUGAACCAUUUGAUGUUCGGGGCUUUGAUUAUAUGGGACCUUUUCCUUCCUCUAAUGGGUAUACACAUAUUUUAGUUGCUGUUGAUUACGUUACUAAGUGGGUAGAAGCUAUUCCAACUAGUAGUGUUGAUCAUAACACCUCUAUUAAGAUGCUUAAAGAAGUUAUUUUUCCGAGGUUUGGAGUCCCUAGAUAUUUAAUGACUGAUGGUGGUUCACAUUUUAUUCAUGAUGCCUUUCGUAAAAUGCUUGCUAAGUAUGAUGUUAAUCAUAGAAUUGCAUCUCCUUAUCACCCACAGUCUAGUGGCCAAGUAGAAUUAAGUAAUAAGAGCUUAAAUUAAUUUUGCAAAAGACUUAAUAGAUCUAGAAAGAAUUGGUCCAAGAAACUUGAUGAUGCAUUAUGGGCUUAUAGAACUGCAUACAAAAAUCCUAUGGGUAUGUCUCCGUAUAAAAUGGUUUAUGGUAAAGCAUGUCACUUACCUCUUGAACUAGAACAUAAGGCAUAUUGGGCCAUUAAAGAGCUCAAUUAUGAUUUCAAACUUGCCGAUGAGAAGAGGUUAUUUGAUAUUAGCUCACUUGAUGAAUGGAGAACCCAGGCCUAUGAGAAUGCCAAACUGUUUAAAGAAAAAGUUAAAAGAUGGCAUGAUAAAAGGAUACAAAAGCGUGAGUUUAAUGUAGGUGAUUAUGUAUUGCUAUACAACUCUCAUUUAAGAUUUUUUUGUAGGCAAACUUCUCUCUAAAUGGGAAGGUCCUUACGUCAUUGAGGAGAUCUAUCGUUCCGAUGCCAUAAAAAUCAACAACUUCGAAGGCACAAAUCCGAGGGUGGUGAACGGUCAGAGAAUCAAACAUUAUAUCUCAGGUAACCCUAUAAAUGUUGAAACUAAUGUUAUUGAAACCGUAACCCUGGAGGAAUACAUAAGGGACACUUUCUAGAACGUUUCAGACUCCGAAAAGGAAUAGGUACGUGGUACGGUAAGUAAACCGACUCCAAAACAGUUCUAAUGGCAAUUUUUCUCUGUUUUGAAUAUUUAAGAAAAUAGGAAAAUAAGAAGUAGACCGGAAAGGACACGAGGCUUCCACGAGGGUGGAGGGCGCGCCCUACCCCCUGGGCGCGCCCCCUGCCUCGUGGGCACCUCAUGUGCUUUCCGGACUCCGUUUUCUUGCACGAUACUUCUUUUGGUCAGUAAAAAUUCACUAUAUAAUCUCCCGAAGGUUUUGACCACCGUAUCACGCAAAUGUCUCCUGUCUUUGUUACGAGCUGUUUUUCUAACAGAUCUAGGUCGCCAUGUCGUCUUCAAGUGCCCCCAAGGACAAGUUCUUCGAGAAGGUCAUCAACCCCUACCUCACAGAGGUGCUGCAACACCCUCAAACCAUUGAGAUGCGUGAGGGGUUGUUGCACGUCCGCGAUGUUGAGGGACCAAGGAGGAUCAGAAGCACGGAGACAAGGCUCGAGGCAUUGGAGAAACAAGUUUUCAAGUGUCAGGAGAUGGUGGAGCGUGGACUCGACUCCAAUCACAUAAUGAUCACGGAGUUCACCAACAACCAUAAGCUGGACGCCAAGGACAUUGGGGAGGCCAUCUUCAAGCUUCACGAGAAAAUCGAGCGCCUCCAAGCCCAGAUCUAUGACCUGCAAAACCAAAACUGUGAGUAUGAAUAUAGAUUCAAGAGGAUGAGUUUGGCUGUAGAUUUGAGGAUCCCGGAGACUCGAUCACCCUUCUAUGAUGGUGAGCCUAUGCCUUGGAAGAUGGACGACAAGCCUACAUCAUCAACAACUCCUUCAUCACCACCUCCGAGGAAGGAAACAUAAACACAUGGGUAUGGGCACUCCCCUUGGCAACUGACAAGCUUGGGGGAGUGCCCCGGUAUUGUAUCACCAUCACACCUUUUAUCUUUACCUUUUUCUUAGUUCGAUCCUUCUGAUAAUAUCUUGAUCUAGUAGAAUAAAGUUUUAGUAUGAUCUAGUUGUGAGUUUUGCUUUAUGGUCCUUCUAUGUAAUCAAGUCUGUGAGCUAUAUAUAAUAAAGAUUAGUGUUGAGUCAAGGGCUUGAUUAUUUUGCUAUGAUCUUGAGGGAAUAAAAUAAAAGAGAAGAAAUAAAGAGAUCAUAUGGAUCUUAUGGAGAGUAUUGAUUUCACAUAUAGAGAGUAUGAUGAAUAAAAGUUGUUAAGAGUUGACAAACAUAGUUUUGGUCAUCGUUGCAAUUAAUAGGAAGUAAUAAAGAAAGAGAGGUUCACAUAUAAAUAUACUAUCUUGGACAUCUUUUAUAAUUGUGAGCACUCAUUAAAGUAUGAUAUGCUAAAGAGUUGACGUUGGACAAGGAAGACAACGUAAUGGGUUAUGUUUUCUUACAUCUGAGAUAAAUUAUAUUGUCAUGGAUCAUCCAACAUGUUGAGCUUGUGUCACAUCCCUGGUCCUGCUAUGCUCUAGGCUAGGCCUCAUGUGAGCAUCAUGUUUUAAUUCAAAUGAAAUUUGAAUUGAGGGAUUUUCAAAGCCUCAGAAAUCUUCUAAAAAUGAUCAACAUUAAAAUCUUCUCAAAGAAGUCCAAGAAAAUGUUCCUCUUAGUCUCUGAAAAUAUUGCAAAGAGGUAAAACUCAAAACAAUAUUUUCAGUAUCUCAGAGUUAAUUAUUUUGGGACAUUUGAAUUAAUCCAAUAACUAUUUGCUUUGGAUUUAUAUUUAAUAUAUAUUAAAUAUGACUCCAAUUAAUUCUGGAAGUUUGUGAGUGGCUUUGUAUAUAUUUUAGCAAGCCACAUAAAAACCUACAGAAUUUAUUAAAAUGAUUUAGUGUCUAAAACUAAAUCAAAACAAACUACAGAAAAUAGAAAACAGAAUUAAAUAGACAUAAAAGAGAGAGAGAGAAGGACUUAUCUGGCGCUCACCUGGUAGCCAGCCGGCCCAGCUCCUGUGUGGCCCAGCCCAUCUCCACUUCCCCCCCUGUCAUCUUCCUCCUCGCCAGAAGGACCGAGGCAUGGCGCGCGCGCCCGAGAGCCCCGGCCACCUCCUGCUUACCUGCUCGCCGCUGGAGGCACCUGAGGGUGCCACGCACUCCCCUCGACCCUCUCCUACUCUCCCGUGUCUCUCCCUCCGUCCCUAUCCUCCUCUGCUCCCUCUCUCUCGCCCGGACCGAACGGAGCCUCCGCCACCGACGAGCUCCCUCGUGGCCACCGCCACCCCCUCUCCUCUCCGACACGCUCCCGAGCUCCGCCGGUCCUCCCUCGUCCUCCUCGUCGUCUCACGCGACCAGAAGAGCCCCUGGAUGCCGCUAGCCUCGCCGUUCCCCUCCUCGGCCACCGAGGAUCGCCGUCGUCAAAUUCGUCGCCGUUCGGCCUUCCCCGAGCCCACCGAGCUGCUCGUUGACCUCGCCGUGAGCUCCUCUGCCAAACCCCUCUCUCCCCGUGCUCUAUUUCCCUCCGUAGCCGCCGUUACCAUCGCGGCCGAGAGCUUCUCGCCGCCGGCCAUGGCGUGGCCGUGGCCACAUCCACCGCAGCUCGCUCCUGAGCCCACCGUCAUGCUUAGCCCAGCACCAGGAGCUCGUAGCCACCACCCGCUCCUCCUCUAGUGCACCGUAGCCCCUUCUCCCCUCCCCGCCGAACUCCGGCCGCCGCAAAAGCUGUCGCCGUCGUCGAUUUAGCCCACUCCAUCGUGAGUUGUUGCCUCCGUUGGAUGCGCAAGACUCCUAGCUUUCCGUAGCCGCAAACCGCGUCCAAAACCACCGCCUGAAGCUCAAAUCCGAGCCGAGCCACCGUCUCGGGCCUCGCCGGCGUCGAGUCGCCGGCGGGGUUGACCCACUUGACCACGGCGGAACCCCCCCUGGGUCGAUGACAGGUGGGGCCAGCCCCUGUUAAUUAGUUUAGGUGUUAGAUUAGUUAACAUUAAUUAAGUUAGUUAAUUAUUUAAGCCACUGACAUGUGGGCCCAGCCCUGCUGACAUUUUCGUUAGUAUUAGUUUAACCCUAAUUAACCCAGUUAACCAACUGUGUCACUGACGUGUGGCCCCCACACGUCAGGUUUGACCUGGGGCGCCGAGUUGACCCUGCUGACGUCACUGUGACGUGGUGCUGACGCCAUAAUUCAUUUCUGGAUUUAUAUUAUUCAGGAAAUUCCAGAAAAUGCCUAAAACUUCUAAAAUUCAUAGAAAUUCAACCGUAACUCCAAAUUAAAUAAUUUAUAUAUGAAAAAUUAUCAGAAAAAUUCAAGGAAUCCAUCUGUACCAUUUUCAUGCAUGUUAGAACAACUUAUAGCUGCUGUUUAGCACAAACCAAUUAAAGGGCUUUUAAAUAAUCACAUAUGGAGUUUGAAUUUGAAUCUUGUAUUCAAACCAACUUCAUUUAAUCUGUUGCUAGUUUCAUUAGCCCAAAACACAUUCAUUUUGCCAUGUCAUGAUCAUGCAUCAUAUUGUGCAUUGCAUUGAUUGUGUUCCCUUCUGUGUUGCCGGUAUUUGUCCCCUCUCGAUAGACGUGAUACCGAUGAUGUGAUCGUUGACACUGAUGAAGACUCAAUGCUAUCUUCAGAAGUGCCAGGCAAGCAAAACCCCCUUGUUCAUUCCGAUACAAUCCUACUCUCUCGCUCCUGCUCUCUUUUACUGCAUUAGGACAACAACGAUUCAUCUGUUACUUGCUGCGGUAGCUGAACCCCUUUAUCCUUUGCAUGACCUGUCAUUCCACAGUAAAUAGAUGAAACCCACUAGUAUGAGUAGGAGUUGUUUGAGCCCUGUUGUGCCUACUCAUUCAUGUUUGUUUGUCAUGCCUGCUACUGCUUAGAGUUGAGUCAGGUCUGAUUCAUCGGGGAUGAAUCAGAGGUGUGUGAACAUGUCCUACUAUGUGUGAGCUAAGUGUGAACGUGAUUUGGUAAAAGGUAUCGGUGAGAGGCCAUGUAGGAGUACAUGGUGGGUUGUCUCAUUGAAGCCGUCCUCAGGAACUGAGUUCUGUGUUUGUGAUUCAUGAUUCAGCUACUACCAUACAUUGGGCCCUGAAAUAUGACCCCGCUCGACUUCUUAUUCACCCUAGUCCUCUGUCCAGGAGUUGCAAGUAGUUUCUGGUGUUUGUAGCUUACUGGAGGCCGUGGACAGCGCUGACCGUAGGGGUGGGCUGUGAUGCGGUAGGUACGUGGCACGGUGUACCGGAUGCCCGUUUGGUGUCUCGGGAACCCUGUUCACAUCGUUUGGGGCUGUGAGCGAAACUCCGGCCGGAUCUCCUCAUGGAUGGAACCCGAAUAGGCGAUAAACCUGGACUAGAGACUUGAGUGUUUAGGUAGGUCGUGGUCUACACCCACGUCGGCUUUCGCUUGAAGUCUGCCGAGCACAUGUCGUGUGCAGACGCUAAGUGGUGGAAACAUGUAUGAAGAAGUACACCCCUGCAGGGUUAACAUCAUCUAUUCGAAUAGCCGUGUCCGCGGUAAAGGACUUCUGGGUUGCUUAUAUCAGUUCAUAGACAAGUGAAAGUGGAUACUCUAAAAUACGCAAGAUAAGCGUGAGUGCUAUGGAUGGCGUUCUCGUAGGGAGACGAGAGCGGAUCCAUAGUGGUGUAUUGAUAUGGUGAAUAUGUGGACUCGUGUGCGCCACUUCAAAGAGUUACAUUGCAGUCGUAGUUUAGGAUAGCCACCGAGUCAAAGCUGGCUUGCUGCAGUUAAACCCCACCAUCCCCUUUGUUGAUAAUGAUGCAUAUGUAGUUAGUUCUGAUGUAAGUCUUGCUGGGUACAUUUGUACUCACGUUUGCCUAUUUUAUGUUUUUGCAGAGAGACUUUGGUCUCGCUAGUAGUUCCGCGUGGACUUCGACGUUUAGCUUGUUACCUCAGCUACGAUCUUGUGCCCCGGCAGGAUCUGGUAGAUAGUCAGGCUUCUCAGCCUUUUUCAGUUAUAGAUGUCUGUACUCAGACAUGAUAGCCUCCGCUUGUGCUUUGAUUUGUAUGCUCUGAUUGUUGGGUCAUGAGACCCAUGUUUGUAAUAUCUCGCUCCUUGGAGCCUAUUGAAUAAAUUACUUGAGUUAUAGAGUCAUGUUGUGAUGCCAUGUUGUAUUUGCACAUAUCGAGCAUAUUGUGUGUAUGUUGUUGAAAUGCUUGGCAUGUGUGGGAUCUGACCAUCUAGUUGUUUAUCUUUAGUAGCCUCUCUUACGGGGAAAUGUCUCCUAGUGUUUCCACCGAGCCAUGGUAGCUUGCCACUGCUCCGGAACACUUAGGCUGGCCGGCAUGUGUCCUUCUUCGUUCCUGUGUCUGUCCCUUCGGGGAAAUGUCACGCGAUGAAUACCGGAGUCCUGUUAGCCGCUACAGCCCGGUUCACCGGAGUCCUGCUAGCCCAGUGCUACAACCUGGAUUCACUCGCUGAUGACCGACACGUUCGAUGCUGGGUCAUGGAUGUCUGUCCCUGUAAGUCUGUGCCACUUUGGGUUUACGACUAGUCAUGUCAGCCCGGGCUCCUUAUCAUAUGGAUGCUAGCGACACUAUCAUAUACGUGUGCCAAAAGGCGCAAACGGUCCCGGGCAAAGGUAAGACGACACCCGUGGGAAUACCGUGCGUGAGGCCGCAAAGUGAUAUGAGGUGUUACAUGCUAGAUCGCUGUGGCAUUGAGUCGGGGUCCUGACAGCUUGCCUUUCCCUCUCUUGCUAGCCAAUUCUUUGCACCAAGUAGAAAUACUACUUGUGCUUCCAAAUAUCCCUAAACCCAGUUUUUCCAUGAGAGUCCACCAUAUCUACCUAUGGAUUGAGUAAGAUCCUUCUAGUAAGUUGUCAUCGGUGCAAGCAAUAAAAAUUGCUCUCUAAAUAUGUAUGAUUUAUUAGUGUGGAGAAAAUAAGCUUUAUACGAUCUUGUGAUAUGGAAGAAAUAAAAGCGAUGGACUUCAUAAUAAAGGUCCAUAUCACAAGUGGCAAUAUAAAGUGGCGUUCUUUUGCAUUAAGAUUUCGUGCAUCCAACCAUAAAAGCGCAUGACAACCUCUGCUUCCCUCUGGGAAGGGCCUAUCUUUUAUUCUUGUCUUAUACUUCAUGCAAAGAGUCAUGGUGAUAUUCACCUUUCCUUUUUACAUUUUAUCCUUUGGCAAGCACAAUGUGUUGGAAAGAUCCUGAUAUAUAUAGCUAAUUGGAUGUGAGUUUUCAUGAACUAUUAUUGUUGACAUUACCCUUGAGGUAAAACGUUGGGAGGCAAAACUAUAAGCCCCUAUCUUUCUCUCUGUUCGAUUAAAACUUCAUACCCAUAAAUAUUGCGUGAGUGUUAGCAAUUGUGAAAGACUAAAUGAUAGUUGAGUAUGUGGACUUGCUGAAAAGCUCUUAUAUUGACUCUUUCCUAUGUUAUGAUAAAUUGCAAUUGCCUCAAUGACUAAGAUUAGAGUUUGUUGGUUCUCAAUGAAGUUUAUGAUUCAUACUUGAAAUUGUGAUUGAAUUGUUACUUUAGCAUAAGAGAUCAUAUGACAAUAUAUAUACAUAUAUGUUGCUGCUCUAAGAAUGAUCAUGAUGCCCUCAUGUCCGUAUUUUAUUUUUAUCGACACCUCUAUCUCCAAACAUGUGGACAUAUUUUCGAUUUCGGCUUUCGCUUGAGGACAAGCGAGGUCUAAGCUUGGGGGAGUUGAUACGUCCAUUUUGCAUCAUACUUUUAUAUCGAUAUUUAUUGCAUUAUGGGAUGUUAUUACACAUUAUGUCACAAUACUUAUGCCUAUUCUCUCUUAUUUUACAAGGUUUGCAUGAAGAGGGGGAAUGCCGGCAGCCCGAAUUCUGGGCUGGAAAACGAGCAAAUAUUAGAGACCUAUUCUGCACAUCUCCAAAAGUCCUGAAACUUCACGGGAGCAUGUUUCAGAAUAUAUAAAAAAUACUGGGCAAAAGAAGUACCAGAGGGGGGCCACUCACCGUCCACGAGGGUGGGGGGCGCGCCCUACCCCCCUGGGCGCGCCCCCUACCUCGUGGGCCCCCUGGUGGCCCUCUGAUGCCCAUCUUCUGCUAUAUGAGGUCUUUCGUCCGAGAAAAAUGAUAAGCAAGCUCACGGGACAAAACUUCGCCGCCAUGAGGCGGAACCUUGGCGGAACCAAUCUAGGGCUCCGGCGGAGCUGUUCUGCUGGGGAAACUUCCCUCCGGGAGGGGGAAAUCAUCACCAUCAUCAUCACCAACGAUCCUCUCAUCGGGAGGGGGUCAAUCUCCAUCAACAUCUUCACCAGCACCAUCUCAUCUCAAACCCUAGUUCAUCUCUUGUAUCCAAUCUUUAUAUCCAAACCUCAGAUUGGUACCUGUGGGUUGCUAGUAGUGUUGAUUACUCCUUGUAGUUGAUGCUAGUUGGUUUACUUGGUGGAAGAUCAUAUGUUCAGAUCCAUCAUGCAUAUUAAUACCCCUCUGAUUCUGAACAUGAAUAUGCUUUGUGAGUAGUUACGUUUGUUCCUGAGGACAUGGGAGAAGUCUUGCUAUAAGUAGUCAUGUGAAUUUGGUAUUCGUUCGAUAUUUUGAUGAGAUUUAUGUUGUCAUCCCUCUAGUGGUGUUAUGUGAACGUCGACUACAUGACACUUCACCAUUGUUUGGGCCUAGAGGGAGGCAUUGGGAAGUAAAGUAGAUGAUGGGUUGCUAGAGUGACAGAAGCUUAAACCCUAGUUUAUGUGUUGCUUCGUAAGGGGCUAAUUUGGAUCCAUAUGUUUCAUGCUAUGGUUAGGUUUACCUUAAUACUUCUGUUGUAGUUGCGGAUGCUUGCAAUAGGAGUUAAUCAUAAGUGGGAUGCUUGUCCAAGUAAGGGCAAUACCCGAGCACCGGUCCACCCACAUAUCAAAUUAUCAAAGUACUGAACACGAAUCAUAUGAACGUGAUGAAAACUAGCUUGACGAUAAUUCCCUGUGUCCUCGGGGGCGCUUUCCUUCAUAUAAGAGUUUGUCCAAGCUUGUCCUUUGCUACAGAUUGGUCCAUCUUGUUGUACCUUAUUUACUUUUAUUACUUGCUACUCGUUACAAAUUACCUUAUCACAAAAUUAUCUGUUACCUAUAAUUUCAGUGCUUGCAGAGAAUACCUUACUGAAAACUGCUUAUCAUUUCCUUCUGCUCCUCGUUGGGUUCGACACUCUUACUUAUCGAAAAGUCUACGAUAGAUCCCCUACAGUUGUGGGUCAUCAUUGCUUCCUCGCUUGGCCGAGCUCCUCCUCGGUUCGCUCCAGUCAUUGCUUUAGUCCGGAGACUUCGGAAGUGUGUGGGGUCACGGCCAGCAACGACGCCUACUUAUUCAUAUAAGACAUAUUUUAGUUAGUUUCCUGCGAAAAAUCAAUUGAUCCUCUGUCCGGCUCAUCUUUCCAAACACCAAACAGUGUCUCGGGGGCUACUGUCUAUAUUGGGAUUUUCUCUUUUGCGUCGCUGACCUCAAAGCCUGUCAGCAGGCUGUCGUAGGCUUCGGUCAGUCCACUUUUGACGGACUGAACCUUCUCAAUCACCGUACCCAUAAGGAUACGGUGUUCAUCCACAAUGGAAGCGCCUCGUGGCGCUUCCAGCAGAUUAUCCGGUGCCUCUGGUUGGACAGAGGUCACCGGCGGAAUAGGCACGCCCCCUUCUUUUGAAGGAGGUUGCUCGCCAAAUUCCGGAGCCAUAUAGGUCUCCGGACUUGUAUUCGGCUGGGGGCCGAACUGAGCAAAGCCCUCGUCCCCAGUCGCCAUGGGGGUCUGCUCCCCCAUGUGUUCUACAGCCGAGGUUUCGGCCUCUGGCACCACCCUGGCGGCCUCCCAAACCUCUCCCUAGCCUGGGAAGGUCCUUUGGGACAACACCUUGUCGUCGCCCUUGGCCGUGGGGGAGUGAGUGGCCAACGGUGACUCGCUGGCCAUCGCCUUCGAAUCCAGCAAACCUCUUGAUGAGGAUCGCUGGGAGCUGUCGUGGGCCGGACUGAAAUGACAUCAUUUAAACAUAUCAAUAUAAUGAAGCAAGAGAGGCCGGAUAUAGGGACGUGUGCGGGUUCUUAGUACUUACGACGUAGCCAGGGGCUUGUUUCGGGGGCGUCGCUCCGGGCUGCUGUCUACGUCCCACGCGGUGUUAUCCGCGAGGGGACCCUUCCCCCUCUUGGGCGCCUCCGCCUCCAGAUUGGUGGAGGCCGCCCUCUUCUUCCUCCCCCCAUCAAGGGGGGGGGGUGCUUUCCUCCUCCUCCUCCUUGUCAUCGUCUUCGGCGACGGAGGAGUGAGUCUUGUCUUCGGACGAUACGUCCGAAGCUCCCUGGCAGCAGGGGCCACUCCGGAUCCCCUUGGCAUCUUCUUGGCCUUCUUCUCCGGCGCCUUAUAGGGCGCCGGUACCAGCAUCUUCGCUAGGAGUAGGAUGACUGGUUCCUCGGGCAGCGGAGCCAAAUAUCGAAUUCUCUCCGCUCUCUCCAUCCAUAUCUGAAAUAAUAAAUUUUAGAUAUCUUCCUUGAAACAAGCAAGUAGAGGAUGCGUCUAGAGACGUUAACGGCUUACCUCGUUGGCAGAAUGGGUAAUGUCGUGCCCGCGGUCCGAGUCUAUGGUUGGCGGCGUCUCGUUGCCCUUAAAGAGCAACUUCCAGGCAUCUUCAUGAGUGGUUCCGAAGAGCCUUUCCAAGGUUUGGUGCUUCUUCGGGUCGAAUUCCCAUAAGGGGCAGCUUCGGCUUUGGCAUGGGAGAAUCCAGCGAACCAGCAUCACCUGGAUUACGUCGACGAGCUUGAUGGUUUUAUCCAUCAUGCUUUGAAUGCGCGUUUGCAGCGCUAUCAACUCGUCUGACGAAGACCAAUUUGGGCCCUUCUCCAUCCAGGAGGUGAGCUUUGAAUUCGGAAGCCGCGACCCAAUUGGCGCCGCGGGGCUCUGUGAUAUAGAACCACAGUUUCUGCCACCCUUGACGGUCUCCACAAAAGUACCCUUGGGCCAUGUGACAUUGGGCAGCUUGCUCACCAUGGCGCCUCCGCACUCCGCGUGCUGGCCAUCCACCACCUUCGGCUUCAUGUUGAAAAUCUUGAGCCACAGUCCGAAGUGGGGUUGGAUGCGGAGGAAGGCCUCACACACGACAAUGAAUGCCGAGAUGUUGAGGAAGGAGUUCGGGGCUAGAUCAUGGAAAUCUAGCCCGUAAUAGAAUAUAAGCCCGCGUACGAAAGGGUGGAGAGGAAACACUAACCCGCGGAUGAAAUGGGGGAUUAAGACCACCCUCUCGUUGGGCUUCGGGGUGGGGACAAUUUGUCCCUUGGCUGGAAGCCGGUGAGUGAUUUCUUUCGCCAGAUACCCGGCCUCCCGAAGCUUGGUGAUGUCCUUCUCCCUAACGAGGAGGCCAUCCACUUGCCUUGCCCUCUAGAUUCGUACAUGGUUGAGUGCUUCCUAAGGGCGGAAAGAAUGAGGACUUGGGCGCUGGAGCUCGAGGAUGGAAGGGCAGAGGAAGAGAGAAGGUGUGGGUGAAGAAAGGGGAAUCCUUAUCUCCUUAUAAAGGCAGUGAAUAUCAAGCGCCUCCCCACUCGCCUUAAAACUCACCUGUUCCCAAGGGCUGUGUAAAUAGCACAACUAUAUUACCCAUGCCCGUAUUGAUGAGAAUCCCGCAAUAAGGGGACACGAUCUUUGCUUUGACAAGACGUGCCUAUUAAAACCACGUCUCGAAACAUGGAACGGCAGACGAAAAACGAUUCAAAAUGAUAACCAAGCAAACGUGAUGUCACAUUACAAAAAGUUGUCAGCGGAUUGGACUCGUGUAAUAUUAUAUUCUCUGCGGUUGUGUGUGGUACUUGUGUUACGGAUCCGGACAUGUUCAUUAUGACCGAAAACUAUCUUGGAGUAUUCGGAAAGGGGAACCCGCCUUGCAAUGCCGAAGAUAGUCUGCACGCUGGACACCUCGUCAUUGAUGAUUGGUUCAGGGGCUACUGAGGGAGUCCUGGACUAAGGGGUCCUCGGGCGUCCGACCUAUUAGACAUGGUCCAAACUGAUGGGCUGUGAAAAUACGAAGAUCGAAGACUCUACCCAUGUCCGGAUGAGACUCUCCUUGGCAUGAAAGGCAAGCUUGGUGUCCGAAUAUGAAGAUUCCUUUCUCUGUAACCGACCUUGUGUAACCCUAGAUCCCUCCGAUGUCUAUAUAAACCGGAGGGCUAGGUCCGUAGAGAGAUCCUCAUAAUCAUAGUUAGAUAGGCUAGACUUUUAGGGUUUAGCCAUCACGAUCUCGUGGUAGAUCAACUCUUGUAAUGCUCAUAUUCAUCAAGAUCAAUCAAGCAGGAAGUAGGGUAUUACCUUCAUAGAGAGGGCCCGAACUUGGGUAAACAUUGUGUCCCUUGUCUCGUCUUACCAUCAACCUUAGACGCACAGUUCGGGACCCCCUACCCGAGAUNNNNNNNNNNNNNNNNNNNNNNNNNNNNNNNNNNNNNNNNNNNNNNNNNNNNNNNNNNNNNNNNNNNNNNNNNNNNNNNNNNNNNNNNNNNNNNNNNNNNNNNNNNNNNNNNNNNNNNNNNNNNNNNNNNNNNNNNNNNNNNNNNNNNNNNNNNNNNNNNNNNNNNNNNNNNNNNNNNNNNNNNNNNNNNNNNNNNNNNUAUCCGAAACUAUCCGAAACACUUCCAGUGUCCGAAUAACAUGGUCCAAUAUACCAAUCUUUAUGUGUCGACCAUUUUGAGACUCCUCAUCAUGUCUGUGAUCUCAUCCGAGACUCCGAACAACCUUCGGUACAUCAAAUCACAUAACUCAUAAUACAAAUCGUCAUCGAGCGUUAAGCGUGCGGACCCUACGGGUUCGAGAACUAUGUAGACAUGACCGAGACACAUCUCCGGUCAAUAACCAAUAGCGGAACCUGGAUGCUCAUAUUGUCUCCUACAUAUUCUACAAAGAUCUUUAUUGGUCAAACCGCAUUACAACAUACGUUGUUCCCUUUGUCGUCGGUAUGUUACUUGCCCGAGAUUCGAUCGUCGGUAUCAUCAUACCUAGUUCAAUCUCGUUACCGGCAAGUCUCUUUACUCGUUCUGUAAUGCAUCAUCCCGGAACUAACUCAUUAGUCACAUUGCUUGCAAGGCUUAUAGUGAUGUGCAUUACCGAGAGGGCCCAGAGAUACCUCUUCGACAAUCGGAGUGACAAAUCCUAAUCUCGAUCUAUGCCAACUCAACAAACACCAUCAGAGACACAUGUAGAGCAUCUUUAUAAUCACCCAGUUAAGUUGUGACGUUUGAUAGCACACUAAGUGUUCCUCCGGUAUUCAGGAGUUGCAUAAUCUCAUAGUCAUAGGAACAUGUAUAAGUCAUGAAGAAAGCAAAUAGCAAUAAACUAAACGAUCAUAGUGCUAAGCUAACGGAUGGGUCUUGUCCAUCACGUCAUUCUCUAAUGAUGUGAUCCCGUUCAUCAAAUGACAACACAUGUCUAUGGCUAGGAAGCUUAACCAUCUUUGAUCAAAACGAGCUAGUCUAGUAAAGGCAUACUAGGGACACUUUGUUUGUCUAUGUAUUCACACAUGUACUAAGUUUCCGGUUAAUACAAUUCUAGCAUGAAUAAUAAAUAUUUAUCAUGAUAUAAUGAAAUAUAAAUAACAACUUUAUUAUUGCCACUAGGGCAUAUUCCUUUAGUCCUUUUAGGUAGGAGGCACUCACACAGUUGUCUCAUGAACUCCAACUUCCUCCUUCCCAAAAAUAAUGCAGUUGAUGCAGUCCAGCCUCACCCUCGCAUGUCCUAGUCGUUCUCAUGCUGACUCUAUGAAGCUAAAGAAGAAGCGACUGUAGAGUCGUUGAUGAGUCAUGUCGUGAAGUUGCACUCGCUUCAACCCCCGGCCAGUGUGGAAGGGUGAUCCAUACAGAAAAUGGCAAAGGAGGUGGCGCUAUGGCAAGCAAGAGGCAACCAAAUGGCAAGAGGACUGCGUCAGCAACCGGGCAAGAGGCAUUCUGCUUCCGGUUCAAGGCACCUCGGAGGCUUCUUAGAGGGUCAGAGCCCGAAGGCUCUAAGACACCUCGGAGUACCCAAGACUAAACAGGAGCAAACCCGCUUAGCUCGGAGGCCACUUGGAGUGUCCGAAGCACCUCCUAGCCUCACCGGAGAGGACUCAUACAUCUUAAUGGGCUCUCUCUUCCAUGGGAUGUGCGUGUUUUGGCUUUGGCUUUGGUUUUGGUUCAUCAAUCCCCACAUCUCAAUCAAUGGUGUGUCCCCUCUUUAUAGCAUGGCAUACCUAUGACUCAAGGAUGAGAAACCAUCGAUAGAAAACUAGCUUGUCGUCUUCUUUAUCCUUUUUGCUUAGGGGAUUGCCGACCAACCAUAUGUUUCAUUUCGCAUAUUUGUUUAUCUUGUGUAAGCAUUCAAAACAUAUUUAGUCUUCUAAACAUAGUGCCAUUAACACAUAAAACCCUUCAUUAGGAGUUUGAUAUCCUUUUAGGAGGCAGUGCUCCCACGGUUGUAUGAAGACCUCCAACUCCCUCCUUGCCAAAACCAAUGUAGUUGAUGCAGUCCAGCCUUGUCCUCGCAAGUCCUAGUCAUUCUCACGCUAACUCCAUGAAGCUACAGGAGAAGCGACAGUUGAGUCGCCGACGAUUCAUGUCGUGAAGUUGCACUCGUUUCACCCCCGGCCUGUGUGGAAGGAAGAUCCACACAGAAAAGGCAAAGGCAGUUCUAUGGCAAGCAGGAGGCAGCCAAAUGGUGAGAGGAUGGCAUCAACCAACGGGAAGGAGUGAAUGAGAGGGUGAGGAAAUCACGAGGAGAAAAGCGUGUGGUGGCAACAAGAUCGAAAUCCGCGAGGCCAUGCACGAGACUUUGUUUUUUUGCUUGCGUUGUGAGGAAACAAACAUAUUAAUACGGUAAACAGAUCAGAUGGCUUGGUUGCUGAAACUAAUGAGGAGUGCCAGAAUAAGCACACCUACUAAGAUUUUAAAUUGUUGCCAUCCUUGGUCUCCUUGUCCCUUCACACAUCAAGUUCCCCUAUGGAAAAUAGCACAAAAACCCAACCAAGGGCAGAAAUAUGAGAUAACCAUGUUAGGAUCUUAUGGCAGGAAACAAAAGAAUGUCGGAACCGAUGACAAUGCAAAUUACAACCAGUUUCUCAUUUUUCAUUGAGGGUUCUAUGUAAUCAGUAAAAAACAUUAAGAGUGUGAGAAAAAAACUUGCACACCAAACAAACAUUGAAUCGCGUCCUAGACAUAUCGAUAACUAAGAGUCUAAGAUACAUAUUGAUAUGAUUGAUAAUCACUGAAGUUCCACCGAACAGUGUUAUGAACCUUGACAACCUUUCUUAGUGUAUGUGUUACUAAUAGUAAAGCGAUGAAGCUUUGUUCAUUGUGCAAACAAGAGAGCAUGCCAAAAAGGCAAAAACUAAGAGUGCUCCCAAAAACUACUUUUCGUACAAAGAUUGUUUGCCUCAACUUGAAAGAAAAUCUGACGGGCAAUUUAUUUUUUUGUCGGCAAAAUUAACCCCUUAUCAUUUUCAAGCCUCCACAACCAUUUCCAGAAAAAUCUUAUUCAUCAUUGGCAAGUUAAGAGCAGACAUUUGAUUGGGGGUACACAUUGACUAGGUAGUCUUUUUGUGCGUUGCCACAAAAGUCUGCCAUAAAAAAAUUGUUCCUUUUUUGACAUUUUUUAGGGCUAUAAGAGAGAAGCAUGUAGAAAGGGUGUUGUAUUGCUACUUACACUAGAUUUGAGAAGAACUAAUCUUCCACAUAUAAAGAACAAAUUCUCUUGCCAACACAUAGAUAUUUAAGACCAACGAUUCCAUUUUUCACUAUUUGGCUUUCAAGAAAGCGAAGCCGACAAACAAGGUACACAAAUUGGAGAGAUCAAUUAACCAUACCAACAUACUCCAUAGAACUACACAUACUGUUAAUAUAAUAAUACUGGAAUGGUAGGUAGCUACUCAUAGAUAACAACAAAACAUAGAACAGUCCGGUGAAUAAAAUGGGAAUAGCAGAUUCUUCGAAGGGCGGCCAACAUAAGCGAGGUCCACCAUAAAAAAUCUCCAUGUUUGCAUUUCGGGGAAGCUUGAGUUGGCUUUUGAGAUGACGAGGAUGGAACUCGAGAGCAAAA
rnacentral:lncRNA from 1 species